AUUGAACGCUGGCGGCAGGCCUAACACAUGCAAGUCGGGCGAGAGGCGGACGGGUGAGUAAUGUAUGGGGAUCUGCCUGAUGGCGGGGGAUCACUACUGGAAACGGUAGCUAAUACCGCAUACCAUCAGAUGAACCCAUAUGGGAGUAGCUAGUAGGUAAGGUAACGGCUAACCUAGGCCACGAUCCCUAGCUGGUCUGAGAGGAUGAUAAGCCACACUGGGACUGAGACACGGCCCAGACGCCGACGGGAGGCAGCAGUGGGGAAUAUAGCGCAAUGGGCGAAAGCCUGAUGCAGCCAUGCCGCGUGUAUGAAGAAGACCUUCGGGUUGUAAAGGACUUUCAGUCGGGAGGCGUUACCGACAGAAGAAGCACCGGCUAACUCCGUGCCAGCAGCCGCGGUAAUUC
rnacentral:rRNA from 1 species